rnacentral:rRNA from 1 species
UACGUAGGUGGCAAGCGAUACUCGGAAUCACUAGGCGUAAAGCGCAGGUAGGAGGUUUAGUAAGUCUGUUGUGAAAGCUCCCGGCUUAACUGGGAGAGGUCAACGGAAACUGCUAGGCUAGAGUGCGGUAGAGGUAGCUGGAAUUCCCGGUGUAGCGGUGAAAUGCGUAGAUAUCAAGAGGAACACCUGAGGUGAAGACGGGUUGCUGGGCUGACACUGACGCUGAGGCGCGAAAGCCAGGGGAGCAAACGGG